CAUUGACCAACCAGAAGAGGUGAAAGGAAGAAAGUAAUAGAAGAGAAAACAUGCCUCAAGACAGCUUCUGCUCCCUUUGCCGUAAGAGAAGCAAUGAAGAACCACUGUGUGCAAGUUGUCCUGAGAGCCUCCGGGAUGUGACUCCUUUCCCCAGGCUACAGUGACUCAUUCAAGAACAGCUGCGAACUAAGCACUUCCUGAAUCACAUGUGGAGCAGAGAUGAAUAUGGAGAGGAGCCUCAGAAAACAACCCAGCAUGCACCAGGGCUGGAUGGACGUCAGAAUCCAAAGGCUUCUGCAGCCCCUACAGAGAGAUUGCCUGGAGAAGGAUGUUCAUUUCCUUCUGCAACUAUGAAGCCACCUCUUUCUUUGUCUGACUCCACACUUCCACCAUGUGCUGAGAAGAUGCAUUCAGUUGUGAAAGUGCAGUGCAGAAAUAUGGAGAGAAGUGGCAGAUAUGGGCAGCUGCUACAACUCUUGAGGCUAGAAAGGUCCCACGGAUGCAGCCAGCAGAACAAAAAUGGACAUUCAAUGGACCAUACCCAGGAGAGAAGCAAGCAAUGCCUCAAAAUGACUACUACAGCAAUAUGAACUCUGUGGCUGGGGAUGUCAAGGGAGGUUGAAGUUCUUCAGGUGUUGAAUGCAGAGUUUCACUGGGGAUGGGAAAAUGAUUGGAAUUGGGGACAAGGGUGAGGAUUUGGGGAGAGUGAGCUCAAGCUAAAAAUCUAUAGCCUGCUUAGUUGAUCCAAGAGGUCAGUUAAUAUGUCUUGGUGGCCCUAUUGCUCAUGAGGUUUGACCAGCUGAAGUUAAAUGCUUUUUCAUUCCUUCAGAAACAACAUCUUGAAAUUAAAGGUGUUUGGCUGAACUACAGAGAUGGGUCCGAUAGUCACAAGAUAGCUGGUGAUCAUUCACGAUGAAAGGGUCACAGCUGUCUUUUCACAUUGGUCACAGUGCCACAAGGAGAUAUUUUCUUUUGGCUUAUGUGAUAUUCCUUUUUUGUUUAUAGGGCUAAACUAAGGAAGCAUAAACAUGUAAACCACUGUAUGCAGUAUGCAUUUACCAGAUAGUGUUUUUGAUGUUCAAAUCGAUUUCACUUCAUGUUCCACCUGUCAAACAGGUUGGAUUGGAGAUGGUUUGGGAUUUUAUUUUCUUCUUUUCUUCCAAACCUACAUGGCUCUACAUUAGGUGUGACUGUAUACGAAUGUCAAUGUGCCACAUCAUACCAUCUCUUCAACAUCUGGUGUGUUUGGUCAUUUUUUCCAACUCAGAGCUGAGGAGACGUGAUGCACCUUGAGCCAUCAAAAGAAGAAUAUUCAGGGAUAGGACAAUUAUGUUAACUUUUUUUAAAAAAUGGAUAUCAUUGAAACUUUGGAAAAACUGCUAGAUUUUCAGCCUCAAUAUCCAUGCUGGCCUUUUUCAUUCCUUGCUAUCUACAAACAUUACUUGGAAUAGCAACAACAUGCAAUCAUAAGUCUUUGAACAGCUGGCCAAUUCAAUUGCUGGAUUGCAACAAUAUCAAUUGCUUCUAACCAGCAGGAGCUUUUUCUGUAGCACUUUUGUUCAUAUAUCAUCAGUUCUCGCUGACAGAUGUGGGAGAACCAUAUUGAAAGGCAUGAGUGUAUGUGUUGUAUCUGUGAAACCAAAAACAUCUCUCCUGAUCCUUUGCAUAGCAGUUCUCCAACAAAGCUGCUUUCUAAUUCUAGUUUUUACGACUGGGUCUCCUCAGUUUAUUGUGGGUUGUACAGAAAGUAGAACUACUGAUUCAUUAUGAAUUUUCUUGCUAUCUAGACUUGGGUGGGGGCUUUCUUUCUUUCUUUCUUUCUUGUAUGCUCAGAUCACUUGUAUUGUAUGAAGCCACUGACUCCUCAUGUUAUCACAUUGGUGGUGACUCAUCCGAGGCUGUGUCAGCCGCUGCUGUAGUUUUAAACAAAAUGUUAUUCUUCACUUGCAAGCAAUUGUAGCAAAAGUCUGUUCAUAGCAAGGGCAUUUUUGCUUUUCUAGAUUUCUACAAUAAAAUAUUGCAAUAGAUGCACAAAAUAA